rnacentral:misc_RNA from 2 species
AGCAGCCGCGGUAAUUCCAGCUCCAAUAGCGUAUAUUAAAGUUGUUGCAGUUAAAAAGCUCGUAGUUGAACUUCGGGGUUUACCCAUUGGUCAGGCUUAAUUGUCUGUACUGGUGAGAUAAAUCUCUACCUUCUGAGGAACUUUCAUGCCAUUUAUUUGGUGUGAUUGGAAAUCAGGACUAUUACUUUGAAAAAAUUAGAGUGUUUAAAGCAGGCUAACGUCUGAAUAUAUUAGCAUGGAAUAAUGAAAUAGGACGGCUUGGUUCUAUUUCGUUGGUUUCUAGGAUCACCGUAAUGAUUAAUAGGGAUAGUUGGGGGCAUUAGUAUUCAAUUGUCAGAGGUGAAAUUCUUGGAUUUAUUGAAGACUAACUACUGCGAAAGCAUUUGCCAAGGAUGUUUUCAUUAAUCAAGAACGAAAGUUAGGGGAUCGAAGACGAUCAGAUACCGUCGUAGUCUUAACCAUAAACUAUGCCGACUAGGGAUCGGACGAAGUUAAUUUAUAAUGACGCGUUCGGCACCUU